rnacentral:ncRNA from 2 species
UAUAGUUUAUCGAAAAUAACUCAUAUAAUAGCGAGGAUAUGGCUUGCAAGUUUCUACCAAACUACCGUAAAUAGUUUGACUAUGAGUGAAUAAUGACACGUA